CNGGACAGGAGUGGGUAAAGGUGCUUGGC
rnacentral:piRNA from 1 species